rnacentral:rRNA from 1 species
GAUGAACGCUGGCGGCGUGCCUAAUACAUGCAAGUCGAGCGAACGGACGAGAAGCUUGCUUCUCUGAUGUUAGCGGCGGACGGGUGAGUAACACGUGGAUAACCUACCUAUAAGACUGGGAUAACUUCGGGAAACCGUAGCUAAUACCGGAUAAUAUUUUGAACCGCAUGGUUCAAAAGUGAAAGACGGUCUUGCUGUCACUUAUAGAUGGAUCCGCGCUGCAUUAGCUAGUUGGUAAGGUAACGGCUUACCAAGGCAACGAUGCAUAGCCGACCUGAGAGGGGGAUCGGCCACAUUGGAACUGAGACACGGUCCAGACUCCUACGGGAGGCAGCAGUAGGGAAUCGUACGCAAUGGGCGAAAGCCUGACGGAGCAACGCCGCGUGAGUGAUGAAGGUCUUCGGAUCGUAAAACUCUGUUAUUAGGGAAGAACAUAUGUGGAAGUAACUGUGCACAUCUUGACGGUACCUAAUCAGAAAGCCACGGCUAACUACGUG